GCAAGUCGAACGGUAACGACACUAGCUUGCUAGUGGUCGACGAGUGGCGGACGGGUGAGUAACGCGUAGGAAUCUACCUAGUAGUGGGGGAUAGCCAAGGGAAACUUUGGGUAAUACCGCAUACGAUCUAAGGAUGAAAGGGGGCCUCUCUUUGAAGCUCUCGCUAUUAGAUGAGCCUGCGUAAGAUUAGCUUGUUGGUGGGGUAAUGGCCCACCAAGGCGACGAUCUUUAGCUGGUCUGAGAGGAUGAUCAGUCACACUGGAACUGAGACACGGUCCAGACUCCUACGGGAGGCAGCAGUCGGGAAUAUUGGACAAUGGGGGAAACCCUGAUCCAGCCAUGCCGCGUGUGUGAAGAAGGCCCUAGGGUUGUAAAGCACUUUUAGUAGUGAGGAAGGCUCAGUAGUUAAUACCUACUGGGAUUGACGUUAGCUACAGAAAAAGCACCGGCUAAUUUCGUGCCAGCAGCCGCGGUAAUACGAAAGGUGCAAGCGUUAAUCGGAAUUACUGGGCGUAAAGCGCGCGUAGGCGGCUUGGUAAGUUGGAUGUGAAAGCCCCGGGCUCAACCUGGGAACUGCAUCCAAAACUGCCUAGCUAGAGUAUGGUAGAGGAUGGCGGAAUUUCCUGUGUAGCGGUGAAAUGCGUAUAUAUAGGAAGGAACAUCAGUGGCGAAGGCGGCCAUCUGGACCAAUACUG
rnacentral:rRNA from 1 species